UUUCAACUGAUAAUUUUGCUUGCAACAAAUUUAUAUUUUUGGUUGUUUUUACCUAACAUGCGUUUUCAAAACAAAUUUUGAAUAUGUUUAUUUUAAAACAAAAGUUUGGUUUUCUUCCAACAAGAUCUUAGUUCAUGUUUACCAAAAUAUAGCUUGUUUGAAAUUAUAGUAAACGUCAUACUACAAUCUGAAGAAUAAGGUUGAUCUUACCAGUGACAUUAUGUUGAAUCUACCUAAAUUCUUAACCUACAUGAAAUCACUUCCUGCUGAAUGCAGACAUUUUGAAAUUUGCGAUACACGAAAGCAUCUCAGUGCAUCAAAAGCCGCCCAUUCCUGUUUCUUCGUUUAUGGCUGGAGAAUAGUUACUCGUACACAUCAACAGGCAUUCAUUAGCCCCUAAAAGACCAUGCAAAAGAUACCGGUGUGCGUCGGCUGCGCAAUUUUAUCAGCAACACGAACACGGAACAGCCAGGCAGCCAACAACAUGAAUGUGGCCAUUAUGCGCAAGCCGUGAGGCAGAAAUGUUUAUACAGAAUAAUAUUUAUAAGUGAGAUCGAAU